GGGCCAUGGCUCAGCAGUAGAGUACCUGCUUUGCAUGCAGAAGGUCCCAGGUUCAAUCCCCAGCACCUCCA